CAGGCGAGCGCGCCACCGCUUGAGCCGCAUCCCCAGCCCCAAGUAGUUGGGAUUAUAGGAUCUUGCUAAAUUGUCAGGAGUGGCCUGGAAUUUGCUAUCCUUCUACCUCAGACUUCCAAGUAGCUGGGAUUACAGCCCAGGAGAGUCCCAGGCAGCUAUUCAAAAUGAUCUUGGAUCUCUAUUCAUAUCUCAUGAGUAGCCACUAGCAGAGGGGAAGUUGGCCAGAGCCCCGAGGCAACCUGUUCACCUCCCAGUCUGCCUCUUAGGGAUCCCAGGGCUGGAAAGAGGUAGGAAGUCUCUCUGGUUGAAGGAGAUGCUCUCUCUUACACCCCAACCUCUGGAGAUGAUGUCAGCCCCCCACCCCCACCCCGUGACAUGACGCACAGAUCCAUCCCUAAAGCUUCCCAGCUCCAGGUAAUCAGUGGGAGGUAACUUACCUGACGGUGCUUUAGGGACAGUCUCUCCCCUCAAGCCCUGGCACCUUCCAGUUUCUUUCAGCUCAUCACACGUCUUCCUCCUCCCAGGCCUCCUCCCUAGAAGCUGACCUGGAGCUGGAUUCCCAAAUAAACAGUAACUAAUUGGA